UUCCAGGAAUGUAUCGUCUCGCACCGGGCAUGGGCGUGCCUCGGGGAGCUUCAAAACAAAGUCUUUAAUGUGUAUGCCGUGUGUCUGAGACAGAGAAGAAUGGCCAAGAGCCCACAGGAGGGUGAUGUGCUUAUACAAUAAGGCCCCUACAGACAAACCUUCAGGCUGCAGACUUUCAACGAUGCAAACCUGCAGUCCGUCAGCGUCAGGAGAACUCUUCUCGCCUUCACUCUGAGUGCCAGCCCCUGAGUGCCAGCCCCCGUGCGCCAGCCCCCGUGCGCCAGCCCCUGAGUGCCAGCCCCUGAGUGCCAGCCCCUGAGUGCCAGCCCCCGAGUGCCAGCUAUUGUGCAGUAUUACAGAUGGAUGCAAAGCAGAGAAGACCCAGAGAACCUCACAUGCUUCUUCGUGUGCGUACCGCUGAGAUAAAGGACGCAGCAGCAACUCCCGUCUCUAGCGUGGCCGCUCCGCCGGCUGCCCUGUGUGCACAGCGGACAGUGCGCUUGCGAUCUGGCAAGGUCACCACGGCCACCUGCC